GCCCAAUGAUGAUACCAAGGCGAAUACGAGCUGACUGUGUCAGAGUUUGGGGUCUUCUUGCCUUUCGUGGGCAGGUAAUCUUGGCAGUGUUGACUAGUGUUACGGCUCUGCUGUAAGGGCCUGCCAACAAUGUACCGGCUUCUCCCAUGUUAAUCUUUACAAGUUAUGAAUGAGAAGUUCAUGGGAACUUGCCAACAGUGUGAGUGUGUUGUGUGUGUGUUUGAGGCAAGAAGUUCCAUCUGCUCUAAAUACAGUCGGCAGUGAGUUCCAUCUUUUUAUUCUGAGGGUG